CGUGUAGGCGGCGAGGUAUGUCGGACGUGAAAUCCUUCAGCUUAACUGAGGAAAUGCAUUCGAAACUACUUCGCUCGAGUGCGAGAGAGGAUGUAGAAUUCUCGGUGUAGAGGUGAAAUUCGUAGAUAUCGAGAGGAACACCUGCGGCGAAGGCGGCCAUCUGGUUCGCAACUGACGCUGAGACGCGAAAGCGCGGGGAGCAAACA
rnacentral:rRNA from 1 species